UACAGAGGUGGCAAGCGUUGUUCGGAAUUACUGGGCGUAAAGGGCGCGUAGGCGGCCUUCUAAGUCAGACGUGAAAUCCCCAGGCUUAACUUGGGAACUGCGUCUGAUACUGGAGGGCUCGAGUGCGGGAGAGGGAUGUGGAAUUCCAGGUGUAGCGGUGAAAUGCGUAGAUAUCUGGAGGAGCACCGGUGGCGAAGGCGGCAUCCUGGACCGACACUGACGCUGAGGCGCGAAAGCUAGGGGAGCAAACGGG
rnacentral:rRNA from 1 species